rnacentral:ribozyme from 1 species
UGCCCAGCAACUCCUAUCCCUACCUCCUCGUGAUUCUGGCCGGGAUACGAGCAACUUUAGGGAAGAACGGAAAAGCAACCCCGGUGGGAACUUUGGUGAUAUGCUGGCAGGAAGGG